AAUAGAUACCCGGGUAGUCCACGCCGUAAACGAUGAGUGCUAAGUGUUAGGGGUUUCCGCCCCUUAGUGCUGCAGCUAACGCAUUAAGCACUCCGCCUGGGGAGUACGGUCGCAAGACUGAAACUCAAAGGAAUUGACGGGGGCCCGCACAAGCGGUGGAGCAUGUGGUUUAAUUCGAAGCAACGCGAAGAACCUUACCAGGUCUUGACAUCCCGCUGACCGGUCUAGAGAUAGACUUUUCCCUUCGGGGACAGCGGUGACAGGUGGUGCAUGGUUGUCGUCAGCUCGUGUCGUGAGAUGUUGGGUUAAGUCCCGCAACGAGCGCAACCCUUGAUCUUAGUUGCCAGCAUUCAGUUGGGCACUCUAAGGUGACUGCCGGUGAUAAACCGGAGGAAGGUGGGGAUGACGUCAAAUCAUCAUGCCCCUUAUGACCUGGGCUACACACGUGCUACAAUGGACGGUACAGAGGGCAGCCAAGUCGUGAGGCGGAGCUAGUAAUCGCGGAACAGCAUGCCGCGGUGAAUACGUUCCCGGG
rnacentral:rRNA from 1 species